CCUACGGGUGGCAGCAGUGAGGAAUAUUGGUCAAUGGACGAGAGUCUGAACCAGCCAAGUAGCGUGAAGGAUGACUGCCCUAUGGGUUGUAAACUUCUUUUAUAUGGGAAUAAAAUGUUCCACGUGUGGGAUUUUGUAUGUACCAUAUGAAUAAGGAUCGGCUAACUCCGUGCCAGCAGCCGCGGUAAUACGGAGGAUCCGAGCGUUAUCCGGAUUUAUUGGGUUUAAAGGGAGCGUAGGUGGAUUGUUAAGUCAGUUGUGAAAGUUUGCGGCUCAACCGUAAAAUUGCAGUUGAGACUGGCAGUCUUGAGUACAGUAGAGGUGGGCGGAAUUCGUGGUGUAGCGGUGAAAUGCUUAGAUAUCACGAAGAACUCCGAUUGCGAAGGCAGUUCACUGGACUGCAACUGACACUGAGGCUCGAAAGUGUGGGUAUCAAACAGGAUUAGAUACCCUUGUAGUC
rnacentral:rRNA from 1 species